rnacentral:rRNA from 1 species
UACGGGGGGAGCAAGCGUUGUUCGGAUUUACUGGGCGUAAAGGGCGCGUAGGCGGUCGUGACAAGUCACUUGUGAAAUCUCCGGGCUUAACUCGGAACGGUCAAGUGAUACUGUCGGACUAGAGUACAGAAGGGGCAACUGGAAUUCUCGGUGUAGCGGUGAAAUGCGUAGAUAUCGAGAGGAACACCAGAAGCGAAGGCGGCCAACUGGCCCGAUACUGACGCUGAGGCGCGAAAGCGUGGGGAGCAAACAGG